ACCUCAGUGGUGUAGUGGUAGCACGUGUUGCCGGUAUGGAUAAAACGCAGGUUUUACUCCCGUCUGAGGUC